AGAUGUGAGGGCGAUCCGGCUGUGACAUGUCACCCCACUGAUCGCCAGGGUUGAUUUCGGCUGAUCUGGCUGGCUAGGCGGGUGUCCCCUUCUUCCCUCACCACUCCAAGUGCGUCCCUGCUGAAGCUGCGCGCUCAGUCAGAAGAGGACGGCCUUCCCCAAUAGAGACGGACCGGCCAUUGGUCGAGGGUAUAUGAAUAGCUGCACUCCUUUGCUAGAACCUCCAAACAAGCUCUCAAAAAGCAAAACAAAGUAUACCUCAGGUAUCUGUGAAAUAUCAGUCUUGUAGUCAGUGCAAAAUACAACUCACCUAAAAAGGCUGCCAUAUCUUACUCUAGAAAUUGUUU
ensembl:misc_RNA 7SK 7SK RNA